UCCCUUUUGCACUGCCUUGGAUUGUUGUGGCAUUAUUGUGGUGUAUGCUGCCAGUAGUGAAAUGGUGUGUUUCAUUCAGCAGGGUGUUCAAUCCAUGUUGGCUUCCUUGUAUUGACGUGGCUCUGGUGCAAGCAGCAAUCACAUGGAAAGGUUGGAUGAUUUGUGGUAGGAUUAUGUAGUGGUGUGGCUUGUAUUACAGGUUUGUUAUAGGUGGAAGCAUGGUAAGCCAUUAUGAUUUAGGUGUUUCACUGUAGGAUCACUUGGCUUGAUUGGGAUGCUUUUGUGAGCUGAAUUACCUGCUGCCAGUUGUUGUAUCACUGCAGGUCUGCUUUGUACAGGUCUUGAUCAAGACAAUAUACCAUGCACGACUUAUCAAGGCAACCAAUCCUUCCUGUAACGGAUGACGGUACGUCACUGUGGCUUAUACGCGCAUUGCAUAAGGAAAUCAAGAAAUUAGCUCCCCAAGCCCAUCUUGAAGCCCAACUCAUGAACUCCACCGUAACAAAUAACCGGUCGUAGUGUGUUUCCGUCGUUCAUUGUACCAAAGGCACGCCAAUGUGGGUGAUAGCAGAGAUGCUGAUACCAGGCUGGUAUUGUCAUGGCCUUGAGUUGCUUUCGACGCAGGCGUGCGCAUUUGGAGCAUUUGAUUUGCCGGCUUGGAAGUGCUUUUGGAAGCUGCGCUUUGAAUUGUUUUGCUUUGCAUUAGCUGUUGGCUUCGGUUUAGGACACUAGGUCGAGUUCAAAUUCCGCUGGAAUUGUUUGUUAUUAGUUAGGAUGUGAAGUUGUUUAACUGUUAGCAUUUAAACUUUCAUUUUGCCUUAAUACGGUUAAGCGAAAAUUAUGAAAAUGUAGCCAUUUCUAUUAUAACAGUUGUUGAUUUUUGUUAGAA